rnacentral:rRNA from 1 species
UACGUAGGGUGCAAGCGUUGUCCGGAAUUAUUGGGCGUAAAGAGCUCGUAGGCGGUCUGUCGCGUCUGCUGUGAAAUCCCGAGGCUCAACCUCGGGUCUGCAGUCGAUACGAGCAAACUAGAGUGUUGCAGGGGAGACUGGAAUUCCUGGUGUAGCGGUGAAAUGCGCAGAUAUCAGGAGGAACACCGGUGGCGAAGGCGGGUCUCUGGGCAACAACUGACGCUGAGGAGCGAAAGCGUGGGGAGCGAACAGG